GACAGAGGGUGCAAACGUUGUUCGGAAUUACUGGGCGUAAAGCGUGUGUAGGCGGCUACAUAAGUCGGAUGUGAAAGCCCCGGGCUCAACCCGGGAAGUGCACUCGAUACUGCGUAGCUUGAGUCUCGGAGAGGUUGGUGGAAUUCCACGUGUAGCGGUGAAAUGCGUAGAGAUGUGGAGGAACACCAGUGGCGAAGGCGGCUUUCUGGUCUGUAACUGACGCUGAGGCGCGAAAGCGUGGGGAGCAAACAGG
rnacentral:rRNA from 1 species